GACAGAGGGUGCAAACGUUGUUCGGAAUUACUGGGCGUAAAGCGUGUGUAGGCGGCCAUGUAAGUCAGGUGUGAAAGCCCCGGGCUCAACUCGGGAAGUGCACUUGAUACUGCUUGGCUUGAGUACUGGAGAGGUUGGUGGAAUUCUCGGUGUAGAGGUGAAAUUCGUAGAUAUCGAGAGGAACACCAGUGGCGAAGGCGGCCAACUGGACAGAUACUGACGCUGAGACACGAAAGCGUGGGGAGCAAACAGG
rnacentral:rRNA from 1 species